rnacentral:rRNA from 1 species
AACGAACGCUGGCGGCAUGCCUAACACAUGCGAGUCGAACGAGACCUUCGGGUCUAGUGGCGCACGGGUGCGUAACGCGUGGGAACCUGCCCUUAGGUUCGGAAUAACUCCCCGAAAGGGGUGCUAAUACCGGAUAAUGUCUUCGGACCAAAGAUUUAUCGCCUUUGGAUGGGCCCGCGUUGGAUUAGCUAGUUGGUAGGGUAAAAGCCUACCAAGGCGACGAUCCAUAGCUGGUCUGAGAGGAUGAUCAGCCACACUGGGACUGAGACACGGCCCAGACUCCUACGGGAGGCAGCAGUGGGGAAUAUUGGACAAUGGGCGAAAGCCUGAUCCAGCAAUGCCGCGUGAGUGAUGAAGGCCUUAGGGUUGUAAAGCUCUUUUACCCGGGAUGAUAAUGACAGUACCGGGAGAAUAAGCUCCGGCUAGCUCCGUG